rnacentral:rRNA from 1 species
AUUGAACGCUGGCGGCAGGCCGAACACAUGCAAGUCGAGCGGAGCGGCGGACGGGUGCGUAAUGCCUAGGAAUCUGCCUGUUAGUGGGGGAUCACGUCCGGAAACGGGCGCUAAUACAGCAUACUAUCAGCUGAGCCUAGGUCUGAUUAGCUUGUUGGUGGGGUAAAGGCCUACCAAGGCGACGAUCCGUAACUGGUCUGAGAGGAUGAUCAGGCACACUGGAACUGAGACACGGUCCAGACUCCUACGGGAGGCAGCAGUGGGGAAUAUUGGACAAUGGGCGAAAGCCUGAUCCAGCCAUGCCGCGUGUGUGAAGAAGGUCUUCGGAUUGUAAAGCACUUUAAGUUGGGAGGCGUUACCAACAGAAGAAGCACCGGCUAACUUCGUGCCAGCAGCCGCGGUAAUAC